UUAUCACAGAAAAUUGUAAAAAUUUGAAUGUAAUUAAGGUUAGUGAUUUCAGGACGUACAAACUUGCAGGUACCUGAUGAGUAGGAAUAGAAAACUCUCAGUAUGAGCUUUGGACUGAUUUUGUUUUAGUCUAUGUAGGCUGUGAUAAUCUGGAUCCCUUAUGAACAAUGGAAUUAUUCGUAGCUCUCACAGUGCUAAAAGCUGUCCCUUGAGGUUAAGGGCACUAGAGACUGAAGGUCUGGUGUGUACUCUAAUUCUGCUUUCUGAUGUGUGGACAGGAUAGGCCUCUCUUUGGACCUCUUUUAUGUGUCUCUCAUUCCAUUCAUGAAGGCUCUGCCCUUCAGAUCUAAUAAUUUCAAAGAAGUUCCCACUUACAAAUACCAUAGUUUUAGUGAUCACAUGUUAACUUGUGGGAACAAAAAAUCAGAUCAGAUUUUAACAGUAGAUUUGCUUAGGCAAAUGGGUGCUGGCUAAUAGCUGUUUAUAUCUCUAAGGUUUGGUUUAGUCUGAUGAAAGAUAAUCAAGCUCUCUCUAGGAUUAACACAUCUUUAAAAG